GCUGAAUUGAGGCCCAUUGAGAUAUUCAACAAGAGUUGCGAGCCAGCUGCUGCAUCAGGGGGAGUUUUCCUGCACAAGCCCUCUUCUUCUCUUGUCUGCCGAGAUGUGGACCAUGCCUUUCACCUUCUGCCAUGACUGUGAGCUCUCUCCAGCCACGUGGAACAGGAGUUUUCCUGCACAAGCCCUCUUCUUCUCUUGUCUGCUGCGAUGUGAGAUGAGCCUUUCACCUUCCACCAUGAUUGUGCAGUCUCCCCAGCCAGGCAGAACUGCUGAGGAAGAGGAGGAAUAAGAGAAGUUGAUCUUACUGUCUCAAAGGUGGCAGAGGUGAAGAAAAUCCACAUAUAAAUGGACCCACACAGUUUAAACCCAUGUUGUUCAAGGAUGAACUGUAAAUGCAACAAGGUAGAGAACAUUCUGUGACCCUGACAGCUGGAACCAGACUUCUACCCAGUGACAAUGAAGAAGGAUCUGUGUUUCCACACAUGAGGCAUCCCACAGACAAUGAUGAACAAGCUGGAGUUGAAGAGGCCAAAGAGGCAGGAGAACUUAAGACUUCUAGGAAUUCUCAGAAAUAUUUGGAUGAGCUUUGGACUGUCUCAUCUCCUCAGAUCUCAAGGACUGACAUGCGGUUCAGAAUUGACAUGCCUGAAUUAUGUAAGAAAACCCCAAAACAAAAUAGCGCCUACCUUAAAAGCAAGAUAUUCUAAUUAAAUCAGUACUAGAAUUAAUGUGAAAUAAGCAAAAUUCAUCAGUGGAAUUUCCAACAUCCUCUCCCCAAACAUUUGACUCUCUGAUGCCAUAUUCCCUCUAGACACCAACCAGUGUUCUGUGUGGUCACAAUUGUCCCAUCUUUUCAUCAUAGUAAAACUUACUUCAGGAAUAGCCUAUGAAUUUGUCUAUAUAAAAGUCUGAGAGCCGACAAUGUUAAGACCACUUCAAAGGAAUAUGGACCAGAACCUCAGAAUUAAAACCUAAAAUGCAUGCAGUGGGAUUUCAUGGACAAUCGGCAUGCAGGGAACAUUCUGGGCAGAGGCACAUCCAAGUGUUCUUAAAAUCACAUCAAGGCAGAAAACUUUAAGUUGGAGUGCUACCUCACGCCAUAUAGCAAAAUAUAUUUUAAAUGAAUCAAAAAAUGAUAUCCUUAACUAUGAAAAAAAUUAUCAGCCUUUUACAUUGCAAAAAAUAAAAAUAGCAAAGCCAAAAGAAAUAUGGCACAGUGGGAAACAAGUUAUUUGCAACCCACAUUAACAGUCAAAGGGCCUGAUUUCCUUAAUAUAUCAUGAUUCAACAACGUCUCCAUUCAUGUAACAAAUACUGAUUGUUUGCCCACUAUGUAUCAGCAAAUUUCCAGGCAUUGAUUUGCAGAUACAGUGAGUAAACAAAAUAGAUAAAGUCCCUCUUCUCGUGCAGCCUAUAUUCUGGAAGGUGUGUACACAAGAUGUGAGAGAUGUUAAAAAG